UUCCCUUCAGAGAAGGCUGUGUCCCUGCUACUCUUCGCUUCCUCCCUCAAUAAACCUCUCUGGAUUAAGCACGCAAGAAGCCGUCCUGCUCUUCAUUCAGUGGUCCUGCAAAUCUGGUCACUUCCUUUGCGCCUUGAAGCUGUUUGAAUUUUUCCACCAAAACUCCUUCGUAAGAAUGUUACACUGAAGUGUCUGAAGAGAACCCUGAUUGUGAGAGCCGUUUGUUAUUUUCUAUGCCUCAUUCUUACCAUUGUUAUUCUAACCUUGUAGUAAAUUCUUCCCCUCCCUUGUUAAGAAUAUGCAACCUUAAAGGCACUAGAAGGUGCAGUCUACUGAUAUUUAUUACCUUGUGUUCUUAAAGGCCUACUUUGUGCUUUGUACACAGAUCUGGGAUAUUGGAAGAGUGCACAUGUAUUAUCUUCAUGACAUUUGAAUCUAGCACUACAUUUACCUACUAACAAGGAAGCAGAAAAAGAUGAAUCCUGCCCUAGAUGGAAGUCUCCAGCAACUGUACUCAUGGGGAAAUGGAAUGAAAUCAUGAAAAGAGAAAAGAAUGUGAAGAAACGCUCUGGAAUGGAGACAUGAUUAAAUGAAAUACAAUUGUAAAAAAGAAAGUAAAUUUGUCGUUGGACUGACUUCAACCAAAUAUACUGAGCUGAAAUAUGAUGCAGCGAAAUGGACUGAAGCUUGCAAAUAUUUUUGCCAUUGAAAUCCUGAAAUCCAGGAAUAUAGUUAAACAGAGAGACAGGAGAAGGAGUUGAAGAAAGAAAAUGCUAAAUAAAUAAAUAAAAGGCCUUCCUAUUAGCUUUUUCUCAGAGAAUGGGUUUGAGAUAUUGGAUCAUUCUCUGGACUCUUCGUCAUCAAUUGUGCCCUUCCUGAGCUGAGAAUGCCAACUGGGUAAGAUCUUAUUAUUAAAGACUUAAUAAUAUGGACUGGAGAAGAUGCAUUACUUGUCUGUUAGACUCCUUUUAAUGCAUACUGCAUUGUGUUUUGCAGUUGUUUUACAUCACCCUGUUGACUGUUUUCAGGUCAGAAUUCACUAGGGACUAAAUUUCAACAUCAGUUUUGCCAUUCUCUAUUUGUGCCAGUUGGUUGACUCCCACAAGCGUGUAUCACUAAUGAUUUUUAUAUUCCUCUUUUUCAGGUGAUUGUUCUAAUUCCUCUGGAGUUAAAAUCUUUUUCUCAGCUUAUUUGCAAUCUGUUCCAGCUUCACUUCUUUCAAACUCAUAAGCCCAUUACCUUUACCAUGGUCUGUAGUGAACAGAAACCACUGUGAGCUAACACACAGUUCAUCACGGCUUCGCUGUGAACCACUGGUAUUCUGCAAGUGAUUUUUUUUUCCUUUAUUUUGUACCCACCUAGCAUCAAUUUUAGCUUGACUGGUUUUCUGUAGCUUGCUUUGAAAAGCCACAAGAAAUGGCACCAGAGGCUGAGUUGUACAGCACCUACAGCACCUCCUCUGUUUGUAAGGCCUAUUACCCUGCUCUAAAGGUGUUUAGAUGUGUUUCACAAGCUUAGUUCUUGACAAAGCCAUGUUAGUUGCUGCUCCAGUCUUUUUUGUUUUCAGAAAUUUUUUUUUGUUUGCUUUUGUGUGUUCUUACCAAAGUCAGGCUUGGAUUUGUUCCAGCUAGAAUAGUACCCACUUCCCCUAAAAGAAUAAAGAAUUUAAAAAACAAAACCCCUCCAAAACAAACUCUCCCCCCACUAAUAUAUUCUAAGGAAGAUAAAGAAAGAGAAAAUCAACCUUUAAAAAGUGAGAAACAGAGCUUCAGUUCAAUCCCAUGCAUUGGAAUCUAAACUGUGGUCAAAUAUAUAUUCUUUUUCUAGAUGUUUUGAAAGUUUAUAAUUAGAAGAUGUGAAUCUGUAUUUAGAAAAAAAUAAAGAUUUUGAUUGAUAACCUGAUAACCUGGAGGUGGUUUAGCAGCUAUUAUAGUCAUCAGUAGCUGUUUCAGAAAAAAAUAUUUACUUCCCUGAAAAAUUCCUAUGAAGUAUUUGCCUAAACAUCUUUCUAAAUAAGCAUGCCUUCAUAAAUCAUGAUGCCACUGUAUGGAGGUGUAUCCACUGUUAAGCCAGAGAUGGAAGCUCACUGAUCAGUUUCUAAAAUUUAGUGCUUUCUAAAAUUUCUUUCAAAAAAAAAGAAAAGCCAAAGGAAAGCAAGGCUGGUGUUAUCCACUGGAUCCUACUGCACAGAACUCAAGGGCAGUCUCAUACACUUCUCUUAAUAGCUUUGCAAACUUUUCAUCUCCUGCUAGCAUUUUGGUUUCCACAAGUUGAAGAGAUGUCAGAAGUCAUAAGAUAGCUCAAUUUUGCCAUGACACUACAUAUUUAUAAGGAAAAAAAAUUAAUGUCCUUCAGCCACAGGGAUUUGAAAAAGAGCCCUUCAGGGUUCUGCAAGUGUAAUCUGCCGAGUGUAAAUUUCAAUGAACACUGGCAGAAAUUGCUGGGGCUUUCCAGUGGCUUCAUAUGUAUAGGCUGUGUGGAAAUGAGUGGCUGUAAGUACAUUAGAAAACUGCAGGGGAAGAAUCACAGUUGUGGUUCCUGCCUUUUGAGUAUUAUAUUAUGUAACGUUUUUUUCUGUCUUCCCACUUAUGAAUACUUCCUACAGAGGCUUUUAAAAAUUUCAGCUUAUUGGUGUUUUCUUUGUCUUCCCAAUUUUGCAUCAGAUUAUGUUGGCUUCUUUUAAGUCUUUCCUCUUUUGUUAUUUUCUUUGACUGUGUUUUUGUAAUUUUUGUUUUCUCUCUAUCUGCCAAAGAGAGUGGCUCAUUUAGAGCUAUAUUUAACAACACUUUUUACCAGCUCUGUCGUCAUUCCUGGAAAUAAGGUACCAUUUAUAUAAUCAAGUCAUGCCCUAGUCACUGCCUUCCGGUACUUGCAAGGUAAAAUGUAAAUUCUAUUUGUGAUUCAUCAGGAUAAUUAUAGCAAUUGCCAGAGUACAUGUGGGCAGGUAAGUACACACACAAGUUAGAUAAUUGGGUCAAUAGUGAACAAUUUGUCCUUAAAAGAACUUGAUUUAAUAAAGAUAGCUUUAAUCUAAAAUGAGAUGACCUUUGGUGGAGAAGUUUUCACAGAACUUAGUGUUUCAAAAACAUCUUGACUAUAUUAGAAAAAAAAAAAAAGAUAUGUAUCUUGGACAUACACAUUUAAAUGACAUUUUUUAUGAUCAAGUCAGAUAUUAAAAUACCUUCUUAACAGAAAAGUGCUAAUUAUAGCUUGAGACCCUAAUUUGGAGAUUGACAACUGGAUCUCAUAAUUCUUGUUUGGUUGGUUUUUCUUCCUUUUUAUGGACAUAGUUACCUAUAUCUAAUCUAUAUCUAUAUCUAAUCUAGAUCUAUAUCUAAAUCUAGAUAUAUCUUUGAAAUUUUUCCCUUGAUGUAAACAUACUGUCAGGGUGAAGAAUGAGGAAGAAGUGGAAAUACAUGUGUUUAUAUUCUUUUUUUCCCUCACAAAAGAAAGACCUUUUGUCUCUUUGUUCGGUAAGCAGAAUAGCAAGCCUGGCACAUUGGGGGGCUGUCACAGACUGAUGAGAGAGAGCACCCAUGGUACUCUGCUGCCUUCUGUAGUGCCCUGCCUUGGGCAGCUUGUGACUUCAUCUGUGCCCAGAGCUGUCCUUGACAGCAGUCAAAUACGCAGAGCAAGGCUGUAAUAAACAUGGCUGUGCAUUUCCAGAACAGCUUGCAGGGUUCCUUCGAGGUUUUCUCAGCAGUGUUUACUCUAACCUAAAACUGAAUCUCUAACAAUACAAGAGGAUUUUCUGGACUAUCACAAUAAAUAAAGAGCUCCACUGCUUUUUAAUUUAAGGUAAAGAUCACUUCAUCUGUACUAAGAUAUUUCCUUUUCUGUAAACAGGAAUUUUCAUUAUCUAUUGACCACCUGCAAUCCUUGCAUGAAGUUUAAAGACAAGUUUUAUUAUCUACUGAGCUGGAAUUAAAAAUCAGAAUUAUUUGUUAUACUACUGAAAUACAUGGUGCCAAUCACAAGCCUUCACUCCAUUUCCAACCUUUAAAAUGGAAACUGUGCUGACAGAACCUAUAUCACCAAACAUCCGUACUCCAAAUUGGAAUGGGACUAUUUUCAGAUCUGCUGCACUUUCUGUAUGUAACCAAAUACCAGCCCUACUUAAGAACUGGAUACCUAGACCUAUUAUUGGUUUAUUAAAUCCACUCAAGAAGUCUAUGCUAUGACCUUUUCACUUCAGGUCAUUCUUUGGAUUGCCUUCAAUAAAUACUGAAGAGUUCGUCUUAAAAGACUGUGAUCUGAGUUCACCCUUGAUGAAAAUGAGUUGGCUUUAGAGGAGUUGCAGCAGGGAACAAUCUGUUCCAGAAUGCAUUUUUACCUUAACUGUGUCAUAGGGUGAUGUAAUGCCAUGGCUGCAGAGGACAACCACUUCGUGGAGAGCAGGGAUAAAACAACAACAAAAAUUUCCUCACACCGAAAUCAACAUAACAUCAUCACAACAGCAGCAAACACAGGAUAGAUACACUCCCAGCCUCCUGGAUGUGGGUGGUGUGGAGCUGGAGGAAGAGCCCUGAUGGUGUGUGAGCAUUGCCCCACAGCAGUCAAAAUGCUGGUGUAGCACCAGCACUUCUGCAGAUGCAAAGCAUGGCACUGUGCAAGCUGCCGUGAAGAAUCGUAACUCCAACCCAGCCUUCACCACUUCUUCCUUCAAGGACUGGAAAUGACCUCUCUCUUUAGGCCAAUUUCAGUUCCUUUCCAGCUUCUCUUGGGCAACCCCAAAUUCAGCCCUGACACCUGCAUGCAAGACUCUGCUCAGUUCUGCUGAAGUGUAAUGCACACAGGAGAGGUAUAUGUAAAGCUUUCGAGAAAGAAACAAAGAAUAAAAGUCCCCUGGAGUAUGAAUGAGUACAAGUUAGAUAACUGGUGACCUGAGACAGCAUGCACAGCAUGAAAUACUUUUUUCAAUCAGUCAAUGAAUAAUGUGUGCUGUUUGAGGGAAGAUGUACUGAAUACGAUGGAAUAAAGAGUAUUUACAUAAUGCAUGGUAAUGAAUAUCUAAGGACUCUUCUCACUGCUGGAAUAUUACCCGUCCAACCUGGGCCUUUCUGGCAGGUGCCCCUGAUGCUGAAUGUGACCAGGAGCUUUUUGUAGUGAGACCAGGACUUCUGUUUCCAGAAGCAGUGUUAAACACAAUUGCAACAGAGACCCAGUUGAAAAUGAAAAGUGAAUUCACCAAACUUAAACUGAUGGCCUGGUGGGUGGUGACUUUUUUUCUGAGAGAUGGAGGAUGAGCAAGACAUGAAACCCAUCAUCACGAUUCUGGCCAGCUACCCAGACUCAACCUUGCUGAUGCAGGAAGCAAAACACCAACAGUAACUAAUCAGUCUGAGUCAGUCUUCUCUUCUGAUGGCCCUCACAGCUGAUAAACAGGAACCUUAUACCUGGGACCACCAGUUUCUUUGGCAGAGGUGGGAGGGCUCAGCUUCAAAAGCUUAUACGAGUCUUUUGCUGUCAUGGAGUACCCAAGAAAUUUACUCGUUGCUGAAAAGCACCAGGCUUGUGGAGUGGUUUCAGGAGGAGAAGUGAUUGAUGGGUUUGGACUUCUCUACCUGUCAGGAAAGAUAAGAGAUCUGUUUUCAGCUGCCUCAUCCAGAAGUUCCAAGCACAGAAGUUUCUAACACAGGCCAGCUGGCCGAUAUUGACGAUGAAGGGGUGAAGCUGAAUCUCCUGUGACAGAUUGCUUUGAAGACAACAGUUUACUUCUGUUCCCAUCAGUAGGUUUCAUUUUGACACAAGUCCUUUAGAAAACAAAUAUCCUGCUGUGUCUUUCAGGUAUUUCUGAGGAAUGGAUGCUGGUCUGUUCUCCCGUGGAAACCUGUAGAAGAAUGUUCACUAAGGUAUAAUGCAGCUAGUACCAGAAUAUUAAUUAAGGAUUGAUAUAUAAACACAAGAGAGAAAUUGUACCUAGACGAGUUUGCCCCUGACAUCUAAAUAAGCAGUUUGACAACAAAAGAUGUGGACACACAACUAAGCGCAUCUGGAAGAUAAGUGCAGGAAUUAUAAGCCUGGUGCUAUAACUGCAUUCAGUCUAUCCUACAUAUGUGCCGAAGUCCUCCCUCUUCCCUUGCUCAUGCUUUCAUAAUUCAUGGCUGUAAUUCACCUGGGGGUUGCUGGUGCUCUGUCAACGUUUAAUUGUUCUAAUUACUUAAUUAUCUGCUCUGGUGAAGUGGUAAAGCCUUGACAUUUCACAUUUUCCCUAGGAAUAUGCAUCUGUGGGAUAUAUCAGUCUCUGCAUUUGGUAAAUACAGGGAAAAAUAACUCAGUUAAUCCAGUUUUUCAGUUGCAAAGUCUACACUGUUAUUGACUACUUAUGCUGGGCUACUGAGCUCCUUGUUUUCUCAGCCUGUAAAUCUUUGUGAGAGGUUUCCUCUUUAAAAUUAAUCUACUUAGUUAUGAAUUGUCUGGUGAGAUAGGAAGGCUAAAAAGGAUAUGUCAAGUGAUAUUUUUGCAGGCUAAUCCAAUUAAAUUGGAAGUUACUUUACCCUGGUUUCCUGUGAAUGGCAAGGGAGAAGCAUGGCCUCAUCAAGCAAGAAAGUUAUCUUGUUUACUGAUACUGAUGUUCAGAGAUCGUAGUGGCAACUGCUGAGUGACACUUCAUGAAGAACUGUAAUAGAUUAUCUGAUUACAACUUUGACAUUAGAAAAAAAAAAAGACAAAAAGCAUUUUUCUGCAAUAAGUAAGCUUUUGUUUCUAUGUUGUGGAUUUUCCUUGCAGAAGAAGAAGCUUCAGUUAAGUUAAACUUUUGUGCAGUAAAUGUUUCUGUAAUAAAGAAAAAUGGAAGAGUUGAGAAUCCUGAAUGCCAUUUACUGUUAAGAGUUAUUUCUUUAAUGUAUCUUUUGUUUUUUUUUAACUUCUCUGAGAAUGGGAAAGAAAAUGUUCAAUGUUUGCGUAAAUGUUUUUUCAUAGCUGGGUGAUGCUGGUUGAUAAAUGGAAGGUACUAAAGAAAAAUGCUUUAUGAGGUAGUUAUUCCUUCAGUUUUUGAAAUAAAAUUACUCCUGGAAGGCUAGAGAAGGCUUUGUGAUAGCUUUGACUGUAGAAAUGAAAAGACAGCUAGUACAGUUCUACUAACAGCAGUUAAAUAAUGCCUGUGCUCUUAGUGUAAUGGGACAAGUACUGCCAAUUUUCUGUUUUCUUCCACUGGGUGAAAAGAAAGAGGAUAAUUUUAUUUAAUCAGGUGGAUUUAUUUGGAUGAAUGCAUGAAGGGAAUGGAGUGCAAAAAUCACUGCUUUUUGAGAAGAAGGAUCAUGUACAAGCUCUGUUCAGCUCCUUGGAGAAUUUCAACAGGUGUAACUACCAGGAUUCAUGGAAGCAAGUCAAUAAACACCUGAAGAUCAAUGUCUCUCUCUCCUUCCUCCCCUCUUUACCUCCAGACGUAAAGAGGCAGCAUGCCCAUUGUAAAAAUAAUCACACACUUUUGCCUCAUGUUAGUACCCUGUGUCAUUCAGAGAAAAGUCAUUCUUCUAUUGAUGAUCACAGGAACAAAGCUGCUUAUUGUGAGGGCUUAGUCUUAGAAGGUCUGCUGAUUGUUUGGACAAGAGAAUUCAAAUAUCAGGAGAAUAGGUAAUGCCAGAGAAGAAGCUGGAAAACAUUAUAUCUAUCAGCCUUCAUCAAUAUUGUUGUGAUUUAGGCCAAAGGAACAUGUUUUUUGAUGUCAGUAUAAUUUUCAGUCUCACUGAGCAAGUGUGCUUUCUUGAUAAAGCUUUGAGUUGGGAUUGGCAAAUGUGCACCUGAAGCUUAUCAAAGGCAUUGGGAGAUUUGCUGAAAGCCACUUAUCACCAGUCUAUGCCACAUUUUUUUGUGAGUUAUUAAGGCUUUAUGUGUUGAUAUAUGAAUUACCUUCUAAAGAUAGUAUUUACAUAUGAAAAGUCUAUAUUGAGAUGUAGAUACUGCUAUUUCUACAAUUUAUUACAUUUAAAGAAAUACCUUAAAAAAAAAGCUAAUUAUACAGUUAUAUUCCUGCUGUAAAGCUGGGAUUUGUUGAGAGACACAAAGAGGAUAAAUACAUAUUUUGCUAUUUUUACUUCUAGACUGGUGAACCUGGAAGAUCUUCUAAGUUCCCUGCUGGAUCAGGGCAAUUUUUACUGGAUGCCAGUCCUCAUUUUCUCUGUGCUUUUAUUUUUUUGUGGGGAAACGGCUUAUGUGCUUCCUUCCCAGCUUUUUCUCCUAAACUGAUUGGGAAAGGGGCUGCUGAAAUUUGCUUUCUAGAGGACACCCCUUCAGGAAGUUCCCUCCCAAAUCUGUCCCAAGCCAGAACACAUACCUAGCUGGACUCUGUGGUUUUGUGACACAGUCAAGCCAAUGAGACUCUUUGUGACUCCUGAAGGUGGUGGUCUUACCAUACUGCCCUCCUACUACCAGCCACUCUGCAAAUAUUCUGCAAAGAUUCUUGUCUGAUCCCAUAUGAAGUCAACUACAGGAAGUUAACAUCAGCACAAAACUUUUCAAGUUCUCUUGCAGUUAUUCUUUCUUCUGGUUCAUCGUGUGAAUCGGCUUAUCCUUGGAAUCCAUUUGAAACUGUAGCCCACUGAGAAAAAAAAAAUGCAGGGAAAGGCGGUGGGCUCCAUUUCUACAUUCAUUUUGUGACAAGAUAUGUGAAGGAAAAUAUAGUAAUAAUGAUAAUAAUAAUAAUAAUGAUGAUGAACUUAUUGGGUACUGUUUCAUAUUUAAAAAAAAAAAAGGAAAAUUUGUAGAAUUUUGUAUUUUUGUGUGUGUUUGUGCUUGCUCUUUGAAAUGAAACCUAUUUUAGAAUAUCUUUUUAAAUAACCUAGAAGGAAACUAGAGAUCAGAGAAUUUGUCCUUGAGAGUAUAAUAGACUAUGUACAAGUUUAGAAGAAAUUUUUUUCAACAAGCUUUGCUAAGGCACUUUUUCCUUUGACCUGCCUUAAUUCAGUCUUCUCAUUUGAAUGUCUGGAAAGGGUUUGUAAGGGUGCAGUUAUUGGUUCUUUCUGAUGCUGCGUUGCUGUAGGCGAAGUGCAUAAUACAAACACGUGUAUCUGCUUCUGAUGGAGCACUGGCACUAAUGAUAUCAACAGCAGCACUGUGUUCUUUGCAUUGUUCCCUUCUGCCAGCUGUGGAGGAGGAGGAGGAGAAGACAGUCUGUCACAGGCGGGUUUCUGCAGAAGAAGAGACUGAGGAAAAGUGUUAGGGCUUCCUACACAGCCUCAUGCGUUUUCUCACGGUGCCGACUCCCACACCGCCUGGUGUGCUCUUAUUAGGAGCUGUCUGCUCAUUUCCAGUAUCUGUCUAUUUCCUUAGAGGGCCCUGUUAAGAUGCAGGGAUCAUGCAGAAGCAAAAUUUAGUAACACUCUAAAAACAGGAUGAGUGCUAAUGUGAAGGAUCCUUCUCCCAUACUGUAUGCCAGGUAAACUCAAACUGUGGCCUAGCACUUUUUUCCAAAUAAUCAGAAACAGCUUUCCCCGAGCCCAGUAACACUAUACAUCCUGAGAGGAUCCACAGAAGUAUAUUUUUUGGAAAAAAUAUAAAAUCCUUGAUCCCUACUUAUUUUCACAGUUUAAUGAACUGCAUCUUCUCCUUUACCCCAGCUUUAAUUUGUGCUUACCUUAAAAAUAAUUCCCAGAAUUUUCUUGCCAUUUUUUGCCCUCAUGAGCUAACCAAAUAUAAGAUGUUACUUGAUAACAGGAUUAACUUUAGAAAAAAUAUUUAAAAUAUUUUGAUUUAUGGGGGAUGUGUAAAUGUUUGCCAAUGGGUAUAAUUUAUUUUCUGUUUUGUUGAGUGCAGUAAUAAUGAAUUUCACUGUUGGUUAAAAGUCCAUUUUAUGCAUCUUUAUGACACUCUUAUUUAUAAAUUGACAGGAUUCAAUUUAACAUUUUGGAUAUUUUUGUGAUUUAAGAAAUUUUCUUUUUUUUUUUUACAAGUUAUGAAAUGGUCAGCCUUCACUUGCAUGAACUCAGCAAGGCCGAUGCAGCAAAUGUGUAGAAGGAAAAUCCUGCUUUAGGGUAGCCCUUAUAUGUGCCUUCUCUCUCUGCUUUUUUCUCUCCGUGCUCUCUCGUAAAUGCUCUCAUACAUGUGUACUGGAAAUGGGUUCUCUUUUUAGAAAGAGGAAGAAAACCAAACUGAAGCCAGAAAUGAGUAGUAUGCUUUUAUACUAUUGCUUUUUACUUCCAUGAUUUAAAAUUCCACAAUGUCUGAAUUAAUACUGUGAGACCAGCUCAUGGAAGAAAAAAAGUAGUGUAUUUAUAAGAUGGGGUUUAAGAAGACACCAAAAAGACCUUAAGCAUAGUCUGCACUGGCCUUUGCAGCUAGCAGUGCUGUCACCUACGUUGUGCUAGUGAAUUUCAUAACAGGGCUGGGUUUUAUUAUGUGUGUAGUUGGGGCUCAGUGGACUAGAAGGAAAUAAUUUCAAUGAUCAGGCUCUUUUAGUUAUGAGUUUUCCUGCUUUCCUUUGACAUACCUUGUUAUUGUUGUUUUUUUGUUUUGUUUUGUUUUAAAGGACAGUAAUUUCAUUAGUUUUUAUCCAAAUGAAUCAUCUUUCCAGUUCCUUUGAGUAUGAAAGCAAAAUGUUGGAUUUUCAUUAUAGAUGCAAACAAAUCUGGGAGAAAGCAAAUACUUUGGAAUAAAGCUAAUUAUUAUGGCUUCAUCUUGCAAAUAAAAGAUGUGACUUAAACUCUUCUUUCAGUGAUGGCACAGAAGCUGCACUCUGAGCAAAUACUUAGAUUUCUGGACUUUUGGGGAAGAAGGCUCCCCUUCCUUUUGGUUUUAUGGAUAAACUAACUGAUGCCAGUUUUAAAACAGAGCUGUUGAGCCCACUCUUAUAAUCACAGAAUUCUAGAAUAGCUUUGUGUUGGAAGGGAGGGAUUUUUUUAAAAUGCAUGUGCAGAUAGCGAAUUUUGCAGUUUUUUCAUGCAAUUAUUAAUUCCUCAUGGCAGUGGCUGGGAAGCAGACACAGAGAUGUGUGUCCCUCUGGCAAGGCGGCAGCACUUCCAGGAAGAGACAGUAGUGGCUCUGAUGCUUUACCUGGAAAAGAAGAAGCAUCCAAAGAUCUCUUAGACACAUAGGAUGAAAAUUAUUUUCUCAGAUCAGACAGGAAAGCUCUGAUUUGGCUUUAUUUUAGGUACUUUGUGUGGUUUUUCUUAAGUGCUGAUAUGGUAGUUUAUCAUUUGUAGCUAGAAAUCAGUUCCUGAUGAGAAAGUAUGAAAAAUUGUUAGAAGGCAGUGUUUUUCUGGUACUUUGCUUCUGAUACGCAAUCAGACUAAUUAAAUCAAUUAAACUUUGCAGCUUCUGAUAAUGUUUAAAAGGAACUAAUUUGCUUCUCUCCUAUUUGCUUUGAAGUUAUUUCGUCACUACAGAUGACUUCAUGCAUUGGUUUCAGUUACAGAACUUAAGAUUUAGCUAAGAUCUUGAACACAUGGUGAUGAUCUUAAUGAAUAAUUACACUAUUCUACCCAGCUAUUAAAAUUAUUUGCUUGUUUUGAGAAUCAUUCGUUUCCUGUGGAAAGAAAAGCAAAGCAGAUUCUUGCUUUUUCUUUACCUUGAUUUCCUUUUCUGUUCCAUUUUAGUAGAUCACCUCUGCUAUAUUUCUUUAACUGACCCAAACGAAAGAUUGUGAUAUGGUAUUGAAAGCAAGGAGGCAGGUAUGAGAGGGAAUUAAAGAUUAUUAGCAUACAGCAAGUCACUGGAACUGAAGAUACUUUGCAACCAUUUCCUUGAUUGUCCCUUUGGGAAAGAAUCCUAUCUGUUUACCUAGCAUGUUGCAGGCUCAGACCUCUUAGGAUUUAGAGGAUAUUGAAAACAGCAAUGUGCGGAGGCCAGAUAUAUGCUAGAAGGAUAAGGAUGCCUGUGUUUUGCCAUGGGAAGUGGAAUUAUAUCUCAAUCCUGUGCACAACAAGCUAUUUAUCAUGCUCAGGAAAUAGCAGUAGGUAACAAACUUGAAGCCUUUGCGGCUAAGAGACUAUUUAUAUAUCUCAAAGUCUUUUUUCUUGUGAAGAAAGGAUUCUCACCUUCAUGGCCUGUUGCAUUGCGGUUUACUGUGGAGUGCUGCAGUGAUUUCUUAUUUUAACUUGUUGCAUUUUAUCUAAAGGUAACUGACGUAUAUUAAUUUGAUGUGUUGAAUUAUACAAUACAGGUCUGAAAUCAUAAGUUUCUCUUUCCUUUUCGCUGUUUAAGGUGAUUUCACAUGUUAUGAAAUUGCUGGUCCUUUUAGGGAAAAAACAUCUAGCCUUAUUGGGGAUCCAGAUUUUUUUUUUUUAAAGACUUCAAAAUAGGUCAGCUAAAUGGAGUGUGAAUGGAGGAUGGGGCUGAGGCUUCUGGUCAGUCAGACAUGAGGAGGAUAAUGGACUCCAUUCUGACUCUGAGUGAAGGCAUUCUGAUUUUUAAUAUCUGUGAAGAAACUCUGACCUAAGGAGACUCUACCUACCUGUCCAUUAUUGGGAUUGAAUCUUACUGUCUCCAUCCCUAGAACUGGUUAUACCUGUGCUGAUGGAGAAUCAUCUUCUAACAACUGGUAGCUCUAUCGGAAGUGAGAAGAAAGUGUGAUGGAUCCAUUUUUCUCCUAACACUUCUCUUGGCCAACCCAAGAGACAGGAAGACUUAGUAGACAAUACAAAAUACAAUUCUGGCGCGUACAUAAAAUUCCCUUUGAUUUGAUUAAUCCUUUGUUAUUCACUUCAUCACUCUUUUAAUAAUUGUUUUUUUAUAAUAGGGAUUUCAUCAAAACUCCUAAUGUUUUUCUUGAAGAUGAUUAUUUACAGUGUUACAUAAUGAUUUUGUGAACAGUUUAAAUUUCUGUGUCUGUGUGUGGGUAUGGUUUUAUGAGUCUUUUUUUGAUUUUUUUUUCUCUAUUUUUUUGAGAAAGAUCUGCUUUAAACUCCAGUAACUUCAUUCUAUCCAUAUAGCUUAACUUCUGACAACUGCGGAAAUGACAUUCCAAGAAUGAAGGGAAAAGGAAAGCUAGUUGGAUUUUGACAAGAAUGGACCAACCAAUAGCAAAAAUAAUUUACUUUCUUUUGACAUAAAUGUGUCAAUUUUUGAAAAGUAUUUGACUGCUGCCAAAGUUAGACUGAUAUUAAAAGCUUUACAUUAACCUGACUUUCAGAGAGAAUUGAAGUGAACUUGUAUUUUAGGUUUGUCCAAACAGUACUUUCUUUCUAGCUCUUAUCUUAAUGAAAGAUUUUACACUAUUUUUACAGUUGGUUGUAAUUUUUCAUUUGAAAAAUGUUUUCUGUUCAAUCUAAGAAGGUGCUUCCCUGUGUGAGUGAAUUUUUUUAACCUUUCCUUUUCCAUUUCCUUCCUUGUGAAAAUGGAUUUUUUCACAAGCAGCAAAAAAUGACUAAAUGCACAUUUUCUUGUCAAAGUUUGAUUAAUUUGCUGUAAUGAGAACAAUUUCCUUUUAGCUCUGCUUCUGAAAUCUAAGACUGAAGAAACAGAGACUUCUUAGCUUUUCAAAAUUUGGUCCAUAAAGGCAUUGGAAGAUUAAAAUCUGUGGUGUGUUUGCCAUGUUUUCUGCUUCUGCCUAAACUGCUUGGAUAGAGAAUGCUGCUGUGGACUCUCUACAGAAAUAUUUAUACAGAUUGAUAUUUCACAAUCUAAAAUCCUUCAACUGCAUAUUUCUCUAUAUUCCUUCCUGCUCUUCUGAGCUGUAAUUUCAAAUAUAAUUAUAAAGAAUGUAAAUUAGGCUCAUCAUGGGCCAAAUUAUAUUUUAUUUACUUGAACUAAUGUAAAUAUAAUGAUUUUUAAAUAGGUAGAAGGCUGCAAAAUAUUUUGAAAUGUAUCCGCAAUGUAUGGUUUAACACAGUGUCAGUACACAUACAUAAGCAAUUCUACAAUAAAUUCAGAUGUUAAAAUCCCACUAACAUUUCUAAAAUUUAUAUUGUAAUGCUGAAGACUCCUGAUUGCUUUAAGAAUGUUUAAGUUUGGUCAAGUUCCAAAAGGCGGUUCUGCCAUUUCUGCCAUUUUUCUUCUUCAAAAGGUUGCAUAGAUUUAGAUCAAGAAAUACAAUAAUCAGUUUCAUCAGAAUGGAAAGAAAUGUUGGGUUUUAGUGAGUUGACUGUGUUACUUUGCUUCAUCUUUAAACUGUGUAAGCUACAGAGAGAAGAAAACUAGAGGUGGGUCAGUGGGAACUGACCUAUUUGUCAGCACUCAGAUUGGUUUAAAAUGAUGCUGAAACUAUGGCCUUAGCCUUGAAUGCUUUUUACUGCUGUCGUGCUUUAACCCCAGCCAUUCUCCAGCAGGACCAAGGAAAGAAUCAGAAGGGUAAAAGCUGGAAAACCUCUGGGUUUAGAUAAAGACAGUUUAAUAGGGAAAGCAAAGCCACACAUACAGAGCAAAACAAGGAAUUCAUUCACUGCUUCCCAUGAGCAGGC